CGGGCGCGGCGAACGGUCUAAGUCCCUUGGAACGGGGCGUCAUAGAGGGUGAGAAUCCCGUAUGUGACCGGCGACCAAGCCCAUGUGAAACUCCUUCGACGAGUCGAGUUGUUUGGGAAUGCAGCUCAAAAUGGGUGGUAAAUUUCAUCUAAAGCUAAAUACCGGCCAGAGACCGAUAGCGCACAAGUAGAGUGAUCGAAAGAUGAAAAGCACUUUGGAAAGAGAGUCAAAAAGUACGUGAAAUUGUUGAAAGGGAAGCGCUUGCAACCAGACCUGCCCGCGGGCGAUCAGCCAUUUUGUUGCAAAGUGGUGCACUCGACCGCGAUCAGGCCAGCAUCGGUUCGGGCGGCCGGAUAAAGGCCUUGGGAACGUAGCUCCUUUCGGGGAGUGUUAUAGCCCUCGGUGCAAUGCGGCCAGCCUGGACCGAGGACCGCGCUUCGGCUAGGAUGCUGGCGUAAUGGUCGUAAGCGGCCCGUCUUGAAACACGGACCAAGGAGUCUAACAUCUAUGCGAGUGUUUGGGUGUCAAACCCAUGCGCGUAAUGAAAGUGAACGGAGGUGGGAACCCUUUAACCGGGGCGCACCAUCGACCGAUCCAGAUGUCUUCGGAUGGAUUUGAGUACGAGCAUAGCUGUUGGGACCCGAAAGAUGGUGAACUAUACUUGAAUAGGGUGAAGCCAGAGGAAACUCUGGUGGAGGCUCGCAGCGGUUCUGACGUGCAAAUCGAUCGUCAAAUUUGAGUAUAGGGGCGAAAGACUAAUCGAACCAUC
rnacentral:rRNA from 1 species